rnacentral:rRNA from 1 species
UUCCUACGGGGGGCAGCAGUGGGGGAUAUUGCACAAUGGGGGAAACCCUGAUGCAGCGACGCCGCGUGUGGGAAGACGGUCCUCUGGAUUGUAAACCACUGUCCCCAGGGACGAAAAUGACGGUACCUGACUAAGAAGCCCCGGCUAACUACGUGCCAGCAGCCGCGGUAAUACGUAGGGGGCAAGCGUUAUCCGGAUUUACUGGGUGUAAAGGGAGCGUAGACGGAUAAGCAAGUCUGAUGUGAAAAUCCGUGGCCCAACCCCGGAAUUGCAUUGGAAACUGCAUAUCUAGAGUGUCGGAGAGG